rnacentral:rRNA from 1 species
GACGAACGCUGGCGGCGUGCCUAACACAUGCAAGUCGAGCGGGAACCUCAGGAGGGGUAACCCUCUUGAGGGGAGAGCGGCGAACGGGCGAGUAACACGUGGGCAACCUGCCCCGGACACCGGGAUAACCCAGGGAAACCUGAGCUAAUACCGGAUACUCCGGCGUGAUCGCAUGGUCGCGCCGGGAAAGCUCCGACGGUCCGGGAUGGGCCCGCGGCCUAUCAGCUUGUUGGUGGGGUAACGGCCCACCAAGGCGACGACGGGUAGCUGGUCUGAGAGGACGGCCAGCCACACUGGGACUGAGACACGGCCCAGACUCCUACGGGAGGCAGCAGUGGGGGAUCUUGCGCUAAUGCGCGAAAGCGUGACGCAGCGACGCCGCGCGGGGGAUGAAGGCCCUCGGGUUGUAAACCCCUUUCGGCAGGGACGAAGCGAAAGUGACGGUACCUGCAGAAGAAGUCCCGGCUAACUACGUGCCAGCCGCCGCGGUAAGAC